GGCAAGAAUCCUGGAGAGAUCUGGGAGUGCUCGAAAGAGAGCUUGCACACAGGUGCUGCAUGGCCGUCGUCAGCUCGUGUCGUGAGAUGUUGGGUUAAGUCCCGCAACGAGCGCAACCCUUGUCAUCAGUUGCUACGAAAGGGCACUCUGAUGAGACUGCCGGUGACAAACCGGAGGAAGGUGGGGAUGACGUCAGGUCCUCAUGGCCCUUAUGGGUAGGGCUACACACGUCAUACAAUGGCCGGUACAGAGGGCUGCCAACCCGCGAGGGGGAGCCAAUCCCAGAAAACCGGUCGUAGUCCGGAUCGUAGUCUGCAACUCGACUGCGUGAAGUCGGAAUCGCUAGUAAUCGCGGAUCAGCUUGCCGCGGUGAAUACGUUCCCGGGUCUUGUACACACCGCCCGUCACACCAUGGGAGCGGGUUCUGCCAGAAGUAGUUAGCCUAACCGCAAGGAGGGCGAGUUACCACGGCAGGGUUCGUGACUGGGGUG
rnacentral:rRNA from 1 species